GACGAACGCUGGCGGCGUGCUUAACACAUGCAAGUCGAACGAAGAGCGAUGGAAGCUUGCUUCUCUCAAUCUUAGUGGCGAACGGGUGAGUAACGCGUAAUCAACCUGCCCUUCAGAGGGGGACAACAGUUGGAAACGACUGCUAAUACCGCAUACGAUCUGACCUCGGCAUCGAGGAUAGAUGAAAGGUGGCCUCUACAUGUAAGCUAUCACUGAAGGAGGGGAUUGCGUCUGAUUAGCUAGUUGGAGGGGUAACGGCCCACCAAGGCGAUGAUCAGUAGCCGGUCUGAGAGGAUGAACGGCCACAUUGGGACUGAGACACGGCCCAGACUCCUACGGGAGGCAGCAGUGGGGAAUCUUCCGCAAUGGACGAAAGUCUGACGGAGCAACGCCGCGUGAGUGAUGACGGCCUUCGGGUUGUAAAGCUCUGUUAAUCGGGACGAAAGGCCUUUUUGCGAAUAGUGAGAAGGAUUGACGGUACCGGAAGAGAAAGCCACGGCUAACUACGUG
rnacentral:rRNA from 1 species